GGCGAGGGGAGGGAAGCGCGCGGGCGCCAAUGAGUUCACUUUCUUUUUCUCCCCCGCGCGCUCCCCCUCGCGCUUCCCGCCCGGCCCCUCCAACCUCCUCCACCGGCCAGAAUCCCGGUUUCUCGGUCCGGGGAGUGGGAGGAUGGAGGAAGCGAGGGAGGAAGGAGAGAAGGAAAAGGUGAACAGGCGAGCAGGGCGCUGUGCCAGGGAGCAGCAUCCAGGACCGUAAUUGUGGGCAAGGGCGGGGGACGUUCUGGGCGAGUGUGCCCGAGACCAGGCGCGUACACNNNNNNNNNNGUGUGUGUGUGUGUGUGUGUGUGUGUGUGUGUGUGUGUGUGUGUGUGUGCGCGUGUAUGUGUAAGAGAGAGGAGCGGAGCCUACCAUGCGCUUCCCUGGUGCGGAUCGCGGGAGAGCCCAAUCACAGGGCGAGCUGGACCUGGCUGUGAUCAUUUAUAAUCCUUGACUCCUCCGCUCCGCCACUUGUCAAGAUGACAGGUACUUUAUUUCUUCUUCUUCUUUAUUCAAAAAAUGAGAUUCCCGGUUUUCUGCCUAUUUUCGCUGUCAAAUGGGAUUUGCCGGACUGAACCACGUCCACACCGCCGCCCCUCCCUCCCAUCCCUCCUCCCAGCCACGCCGGUACGGGGGAAAGCACCGAGGCUCCCAUGCUGUGACCAAUCAGUGUAUCUACUACUCUCGCCGUGAUUUAGGGGUCAUCCAUGAAUAACACUUCAUGCUGAUGAAUGGCUCUUGCCGGCUUUCGGCUCUGAUGAGGGGUCUGCCGGCCGCUGAUUGCAAACACUAAUGAACUUACAGCGCCAUUUGAAAUUCACACGCACCAACAAAGUGAGGGGAUUAUUAGCAGCACAACACCGCCCCUGCCACACUCCCUUGGCAGUGGGAGCCGAAACAACUUUACCUCCCUAAGGACACUGCCACUUUGUAAGUUUCUGCCAAAACUCUACUCCGGGAAGCUCCAGCCCCGGGCUCCGCCCCCGCCCCCACCCUCACCCCUAGCUGCGGAAAGCCCACCCGGGGAGCCAUUUUUCACUGCCCAAAAGCUCCUGCCCUUUGAGUUUUGGAACUCCAAACUUAGAACCUUUACAGAAUCGCGCUCUGGCUUCCUGCCUCCAGCCACCUCCAGGCUUCUUUCUGUCCGCUGGAGGGAUUGGGUCCAACGCCCUGGAGAGAACCACUGCACCAAUGAGAGUCUAGCUCCUCGAGGAGCGCCCAGGUAUUCCCUGAGACCAGCCUGGAGCUGCCAGAAGCAGUGGAGAGUCCCCAGGCCUGCCCUGAACUACUGCCUGCCGACCGGUCUCAGCCAAGCCCUUGGGUCCCACCUCCAAUGCGAAUUUCAGCACAGAGGACUCCACCAAUCAGUAUCUAACUUGUCCUGGCUGGAAUCGAAGACAUUUGUAUUUUUAACUGCGUUCACAAGAACAAAUCUAUCAGUCAGGCAAACAUAG
rnacentral:lncRNA from 1 species